rnacentral:rRNA from 1 species
UACGAAGGGGGCUAGCGUUGCUCGGAAUUACUGGGCGUAAAGGGCGCGUAGGCGGAUGUUUAAGUCAGAGGUGAAAUCCCAGGGCUCAACCCUGGAACUGCCUCUCAUACUGGGUAUCUCGAGUUCGAGAGAGGUGAGUGGAAUUGCGAGUGUAGAGGUGAAAUUCGUAGAUAUUCGCAGGAACACCAGUGGCGAAGGCGGCUCACUGGCUCGGAACUGACGCUGAGGCGCGAAAGCAUGGGGAUCAAACAGG